UGGGGAAUAUUGCACAAUGGAGGGAACUCUGAUGCAGCGACGCCGCGUGAACGAAGAAGGCUUUCGAGUCGUAAAGUUCUUUUAUAUGGGAAGAUAAUGACGGUACCAUACGAAUAAGGACCGGCUAAUUACGUGCCAGCAGCCGCGGUAAUACGUAAGGUCCGAGCGUUGUCCGGAAUCAUUGGGCGUAAAGGGUACGUAGGCGGAUAAGCAAGUUAGAAGUGAAAUCCUAUAGCUCAACUAUAGUAAGCUUUUAAAACUGCUCAUCUUGAGGUAUGGAAGGGAAAGUGGAAUUCCUAGUGUAGCGGUGAAAUGCGCAGAUAUUAGGAGGAAUACCGGUGGCGAAGGCGACUUUCUGGCCAUAUACUGACGCUGAGGUACGAAAGCGUGGGUAGCAAACAGG
rnacentral:rRNA from 1 species